ACGAACGCUGGCGGCGUGCCUAAUACAUGCAAGUCGAACGGUCUUUCUAUGGAAGCUUGCUUCCACUGAGAAGAUAGUGGCGAACGGGUGAGUAACACGUGGGUAACCUGCCCAUAAGAGGGGGGAUAACAUCCGGAAACGGGUGCUAAUACCGCAUAGUUUUCUUGAUCGCAUGAUUGAGAAAGGAAAGACGGCCUUUGUGCUGUCGCUUAUGGAUGGACCCGCGGCGUAUUAGUUAGUUGGUGAGGUAACGGCUCACCAAGACGAUGAUACGUAGCCGACCUGAGAGGGUGAUCGGCCACAUUGGGACUGAGACACGGCCCAAACUCCUACGGGAGGCAGCAGUAGGGAAUCUUCCGCAAUGGACGAAAGUCUGACGGAGCAACGCCGCGUGAGUGAAGAAAAGGUUUUCGGAUCGUAAAACUCUGUUGUCAGAGAAGAACAAGUUGGAGAGUAACUGCUCCAGCCUUGACGGUAUCUGACCAGAAAGCCACGGCUAACUACGUGCCAGCCGCGGC
rnacentral:rRNA from 1 species